rnacentral:rRNA from 1 species
CUGCGGAGGGAUCAUUACUGAGUUUACGCUCUAUAACCCUUUGUGAACAUACCUAUAACUGUUGCUUCGGCGGGUAGGGUCUCCGCGACCCUCCCGGCCUCCCGCCUCCGGGCGGGUCGGCGCCCGCCGGAGGAUAACCAAACUCUGAUUUAACGACGUUUCUUCUGAGUGGUACAAGCAAAUAAUCAAAACUUUUAACAACGGAUCUCUUGGUUCUGGCAUCGAUGAAGAACGCAGCGAAAUGCGAUAAGUAAUGUGAAUUGCAGAAUUCAGUGAAUCAUCGAAUCUUUGAACGCACAUUGCGCCCGCCAGCAUUCUGGCGGGCAUGCCUGUUCGAGCGUCAUUUCAACCCUCAAGCUCUGCUUGGUGUUGGGGCCCUACAGCUGAUGUAGGCCCUCAAAGGUAGUGGCGGACCCUCCCGGAGCCUCCUUUGCGUAGUAACUUUACGUCUCGCACUGGGAUCCGGAGGGACUCUUGCCGUAAAACCCCCCAAUUUUCCAAAGGUUGACCUCGGAUCAGGUAGGAAUACCCGCUGAACUUAAG